AAAACCUAUACAUGGGGGGUACUGUUUUACUCAUGAGACAGUUCUGAAUACAAAUAUGUAUGUUUUAUUGCAGUAAAACCUAACAGUAUUGUGACAUCAGUUAAACUGACAUGCAGAAAUUGAAAAAUAUCAAAAUUUCUUAAGUUUUUAAACUUUUUUAGAUUUUAUUCAUAUAAAAUGGAGUUAUAUAUGAAUGUUUGAUAUGGAAUGAAAGCCCUGUUUCCCCUGAACAAACCGAUAUAUAAUAAGUGUGGGUGCACUUAGUAAGAAAGAGGUAAAUUAUAGUUGAACAGACAGAGAGUCAAAUUCUGUGGUUUGUUUACAUUUUGUUUUGAUCACAACUUGUACAUUUGGCUCCGUCCUUAAGGGGUUAACCAUCGCAUAUGGAUAACAGAAUCUGGAUAUUCUCUACUUGUGCUUCACAAAUAAAAGUGGAAGGAAAUGGCUGUCAGGUAUAAGGCAUGUACUUCUUUGGUAUUAUUGUAAGUAACAGUGCCAAAAAUGAAACUUAGGGUGGCUUGGGGAUGUAGAGGGAAGUGAUUUUAACUUUUUCCUCAAAGCCAUCACUAGCGACAGCUGAUGAAAAUGACAAAACUUGGCCGUUUUGUC